ensembl:snoRNA SNORD18 Small nucleolar RNA SNORD18
UUGUUAUGAUGAGAUUCCACUUACGGUCCGUGUUUCUGAAACACAUGAUUUUGUGGAAGUUCUGAUUUA